ensembl:lncRNA
AGCGAAAGCACACGGAAACAUCAGCUAUGGCUCGUACUUACUGUGUUGUCUGUUGCAAUGUUAGAUCCCACGAUCGGGAAGGGAAUGAGCUGGAAAAUGGGCUCUCUUUUUAUCGUUUCCCCUCCUGGAAGCAACAUGAGGGAUCUCAUGUAUCUGAUGUUACCAAACGAAGACGUCAUGCUUGGAUAGCAGCGGUGAGAUGAGCUGAUAUCAAGUUCUCUGCCAUCAUUUUUUGUUGGUGUGCUCCCGACAUUUUCAUUCCGGUAAGUUCAUAUUGCUCUUUAUAGGCUUUUAGUUUUAUUUUCAGUGCGCUGAGGUCAUAGAAAAAUAGAACAAACAUCCUAAUGUGUGAUGAAGCAGAACUGUGAUCCGUUUAUGGAGUAGCUUAUCGCUGAAAACUCCUCCAGAGUAAGUGGAAUUUGCCUUUUUUGCAGAUGGCUCCUUUUGCCUUUCACUGCAGAUGGUGUGUUUAUGUUUUCAUCUAGAGCAAUUUCUGGGGCAGCUCCUGAGGAGAAGUCAAUGUUAUGUGCAACCUCUGGCUGUAUCUUGGUCAUACGGUCAACGUACUCGCAGCGUGGAGGCUUAAAAAUGGACAAAUCUUGCACCCAGGCGUUUGUGAAUUGGAUGUGCGCCUCCAGGGAUUUAUAAUUCGGAAAAUGAUUCGCUGUGUAAGCGCUGACUCCACAGACAAGGCCUCUCCCCUGUAAUAGGUCGUGGAGGCUGGAUACUCCAUUCCCUCAUCAAGUAGCUGCUUCAUGCUUGAAGCCACCAGAUGCAGCUCGUCUUCAUCAUAGGCAUAUACCUGUUUGUCCUCACAGGUCAUCAGAAGGAGCUGUUCACACAGGCAUGAAAUGCCCUCGACCACACCAAUAACCUGCAUGGUUACAGCCUUUGGAAGGUAGAAUUUCCCCCACAACAAGAAAAUUAUUUGGUAAACGGUGUCCUCGAGCCCUGCUUCCCUCAAUGUGGCACCAGCUGGGUUCUUUAAUAGGAAAUGCUCACCUUUAUCUGAAGAUACACACUGUGAAAUACCUGCUCUGGAUUCCUCACCUGCAACAUAUGGCAACACAUGCAGUUUCUUUAAGGAUGGAAAAUAAUUAUUUCAGCUUUAUUUUUACAUGAGACAGAAAUGAUUGUACUGUACUUUUUUCUCUUUUGACAGGUGGGACAUGAGACACAACAGGAAGGUUAUGUUUCAACCUGAAAGACAGAAGAGAUUAUGAUUGUAAUAAAGUUUAUAAGAAGAGUUUUCCUUUUAUAAUCCAUUGUCAUUGUUUCUCUCGUGCUCCAGUAGCCCCAGUCAGUCAGCCUCACUGUAUGGAGCUAAAUGCCAGUAAUUACUGUUAUGUCUAUUCUCCUGAAGUCAUAGCAUCACAGUAAUUUGUUUUGUAUGUUCAGAAGCUUUGUGCUUGGGAUAUAAGUUGCCAUUUCUGCACUAAACCAUCUACAAUCCUGAGUCUGUACAUCCUGUGAGUGUUUGGUUCAAGGCUUCAGUCUACAGUCAGAGUCAGGUCCUCAUCCUCAGCCACAACAGUGGUUGUUACUGUCUAUCGACAUUUAAGUAUGUUGACUGUUAUUUGUUUCAUUUCACUUCUGUGUAUCUCUUCUCCCUCUGUGUGAAAGGUGGUCAUCAAUAACCCACAUAGCAAGCAGGUCUGGCCCGUAUCUGGCAA